rnacentral:rRNA from 1 species
CCUACGGGUGGCAGCAGUCGAGAAUCAUUCACAAUGGGGGAAACCCUGAUGGUGCGACGCCGCGUGGGGGAAUGAAGGUCUUCGGAUUGUAAACCCCUGUCAUGUGGGAGCAAAUUAAAAAGAUAGUACCACAAGAGGAAGAGACGGCUAACUCUGUGCCAGCAGCCGCGGUAAUACAGAGGUCUCAAGCGUUGUUCGGAAUCACUGGGGGUAAAGCGUGCGUAGGCUGUUUCGUAAGUCGUGUGUGAAAGGCGCGGACUCAACCCGCGGACGGCACAUGAUACUGCGAGACUAGAGUAAUGGAGGGGGAACCGGAAUUCUCGGUGUAGCAGUGAAAUGCGUAGAUAUCGAGAGGAACACUCGUGGCGAAGGCGGGUUCCUGGACAUUAACUGACGCUGAGGCACGAAGGCCAGGGGAGCGAAAGGGAUUAGAUACCCGGGUAGUC